AAUGAACGUUGGCGGCGUGGAUUAGGCAUGCAAGUCGAGCGAGAAUCCCCAGCAAUGGGGAGGACAGCGGCGAAAGGGAGAGGAAUACGCGGGUACCUACCCCCGGAUCUGGGAUAGCCACGGGAAACUGUGGGUAAUACCAGAUGAUGUCUCCGGACCAAAGGUGUGAUUCCGUCCGGGGAGGGGCCCACGUCCUAUUAGCUUGUUGGUGGGGUAACGGCCUACCAAGGCAAUGAUGGGUACGGGGCGUGAGAGCGUGCCCCCGCUCACUGGGACUGAGACACUGCCCAGACACCUACGGGUGGCUGCAGUCGAGGAUCUUCGGCAAUGGGCGCAAGCCUGACCGAGCGAUGCCGCGUGCGGGAUGAAGGCCUUCGGGUUGUAAACCGCUGUCGAGGGGGAGCAACUUCCAUAGAGUUAUCUUUAUGGAUUGAGUGAUCCCUGGAGGAAGGACGGGCUAAGUUCGUGCCAGCCGCCGCAGUAAAAC
rnacentral:rRNA from 1 species